rnacentral:rRNA from 1 species
CGCUGGCGGCACGCCUUAUACAUGCAAGUCGAACGCAGUAGCAAUACUGAGUGGCAAACGGGUGAGUAUAAUGUGGGUAUCUGCCUUUUGGUUCGGAAUAACAUGAGGAAACUUGUGCUAAUACCGGAUAAGCCUUCACAGGGAAAGUUUUAUACGCCGAAAGAUGAGCCCGCACUUGAUUAGUUUGUUGGUGAGGUAAUGGCUCACCAAGACAAUUAUCAAUAGCUGGUCUGAGAGGACGAUCAGCCACAUUGGGACUGAGACACGGCCCAGACUCCUACGGGAGGCAGCAGUAAGGAAUCUUGCACAAUGGGGGAAACCCUGAUGCAGCGAUGCCGCGUGAGUGAAGAAGGCCCUUGGGUUGUAAAACUCUUUCGUCGGGGAAGAAAAUGACUGUACCCGAAUAAGAAGGUCCGGCUAACUUCGUGCCAGCAGCCGCGGUAAUACGAAGGGACCUAGCGUAGUUCGGAAUUACUGGGCUUAAAGAGCUCGUAGGUGGUUAAAAAAGUUGAUGGUGAAAUCCCAAGGCUCAACCUUGGAACUGCCAUCAAAACUUUUUAGCUAGAGUGUGAUAGAGGAAAGUGGAAUUUCUAGUGUAGAGGUGAAAUUCGUAGAUAUUAGAAAGAACACCAAAUGCGAAGGCAACUUUCUGGGUCACUACUGACACUGAGGAGCGAAAGCAUGGGUAGCGAAGAGGAUUAGAUACCCUCGUAGUCCAUGCCGUAAACGAUGUGUGCUAGACGUUGGAAAUAUAUUUUUCAGUGUCGCAGCGAAAGCAUUAAGCACACCGCCUGGGGAG